UACGUAGGGGGCGAGCGUUGUCCGGAUUUAUUGGGCGUAAAGAGCGUGUAGGCGGUUCGGUAAGUCUGUCGUGAAAUCCUGAGGCUCAACCUUGGACGUGCGAUGGAUACUGCCGGGCUAGAGGAUGGUAGAGGCGAGUGGAAUUCCUGGUGUAGCGGUGGAAUGCGCAGAUAUCAGGAGGAACACCAAUAGCGAAGGCAGCUCGCUGGGACGGUAUUGACGCUGAGGCGCGAAAGCGUGGGGAGCAAACAGG
rnacentral:rRNA from 1 species